CCUCCAUAAUAUGCUAGAUCAAAACCCAUUAACCCACUGUAUUCGCCACAUGUGUUUCUAAUUCUUCUCCUACAUAUAUGGAGCGCAAUUCCGAUAAUGCCCUCAGGACCCAACCCAGCGACCGCAUCAAGCUCAACGUCGGCGGCAAACUCUUCGAGACCACCGUCUCCACCCUCUGGUCCGGCGGUCCAGACUCCCUCCUCGCCGCCCUCUCGAACCGGCCUCGCCAAGAUCUGCUCUCAGACCCGGUUUUCAUAGACCGCGACCCUGAAAUCUUCUCUGUACUUCUCUCUCUCCUCCGGUCCAACCGCCUUCCCUCCACUUCUCGCCGGUUCACCAAACAAGAACUCGCCGAUGAAGCCUCUUACUACGGCAUCGAGUCUCAGCUCAAAUCGGCGAUGCUGCCUAGUCGACUCAGCGGAAUCGACGCUUCCGUUGUCGCCACCGUCAGACCGGCUUCCGACGGCGUCGUCUCCGCCUUCGCCGCUGACGACGGCAGCGGAUCGCUGUGGAUGGCUCACGGCGGUCAGAUCUCGGCCUACGACUCGAAUCUCACUCACGCCGGAACGAUUCGGACUCACCUGGAUCAAAUCACCUCGAUCCACCGAAUCCGUCCCGAGAUCGCCGCCGUGGGAUCAGACACAACGUCGGGGCUCCACUUCUACAGCCUCUCAAACGGGCGACAUGUCGGAUUUGCUGACUGGACCGACCCGUCCGAUCCUCGGAUCUACAAGGCCCGAGUCACCGCCAUAGCUGACUCGCCCGACUCAGUCUUCUCUGCCUUCGAUUGUUACCACAGAGAGAAUUGCGUUCUCGUAAUCGACAAAUCGUCGCUGAAAAUCUCGUCGGAGUUCGCGCGGCAAUCCGGUAAUUCUUCCAAAACGAUGGUCGCCGGAAAGCUGACGUACUUGCCGGAUUCCGGCGUCCUCGUCGGAAGUGCCGUCACGUCCGGUGCGUUCGGUUACUCCGGUUACGUCCGGUUGUGGGACCCUAGAUCCGGAACGGUGGUUUGGGAGACGAACGAACCAGGCUCGGGCCGAAGCAGCAGGUUCGGAGACUCGUUCGCAGACGUUGAUGUUGACACGGACGAGUCGACUCUGUUCAAGGUCUGUUCGAAAUCUGGAGAUUUGGCAAUGGCAGAUUUGCGUAAAUUAGGGGAAGAUCCAUGGGUAUAUUUGGUAGAUAAAAACCCUAGUAUGAGAAACACUGGUGGAGGUAGUGAUAGUGUGAUUCAUUGCUAUAGGAAGCAGGUGUUUGUGGGUAGAGAUGGUGGGUUGGAGGUGUGGUCUAGGGUUCAGGAGAGAGAAGGAAAUGUUGAGAGAGAAAAUGAGUUUCAUGAAGGUUCAUAUAAGAGGAAUUAUGUAGAUAAAGUUGUGGAUUCAGAAAGAGGGGUUAUUACGAAAAUUGAAGGUGGUGGGGAUAGGUUGUUUGUUUGUAGAGAAGAUUCUGAAGGCAUUGAGGUGUGGGAAAGUUCGGGUUUUUCGGGUGCAGUUUCAAUUUCCUGACCCCCGAACAGGGUUGAUUGUGCAAAAACUGAAUCUUUGAAGAGGCUUCGUCUUUGUCUUAUUGAAUUUGAUUGGGUUCAUACUGAUUUGUUUCACAAGGUAUUAUAUUGAUCAUAGUGCAAGAAAAUUUGUUUUGUAUACCUUUGAUUUGAUACACUUUAUAACAAAUUCUGAAGGAACUUGGAUUAAUUGGAAAUCAAAUUUGCUCAAGUUGUGGUUUUUGAUUUUGACUCUAGGAAUAUGGAUUGUAGAAAAAUUUGAAUCUUUGAAGAGAUUUUGUGCUCUCACCUGGAAUUAGCUUGUGAUGUUAUGGGUUUUUUUACAUGUUAUUGAAUUUGUGUUGAUGUUGACACCUUCAAGCAAUACUGAAUUGAUCAUUCAUACAAAUGGUUGUGUCAAUGGCGACCUUUUCAAACAAUUCUGUAUCGAUCCGUAACAUAUAAAUGGCAAAAUAAAAGUGCAAGAAGUUUGCUUUGUGAAGGUCUGAUCUCAUUUGCAUGGAUGUGAAGACUGUUGGAGGAAAUUUGAUGGAUGCUGAAGAGGCUUUGUCUUCUUUUAUUGAAUUUGAUUGGGUUUAUACUGAAUUGUUUCACAAGGUACUGUUAUUGAUCAUUUCAUGGAGAUCACAGGGAAGACAAAUGCAGGAAAAUUGGUUGUGUGACUUUGAUUCAAUGUGUUAUGGUGAGUAGUUCUCAAGAAUCUUGGAUUUAUCAGUUGUCAAAUUUCAUCGAGGUGGUGUUUUUGAUUUUGUAACCCUAGGAAAAUGGGUUGUAGGGCAGCCACUUCAAACAAUACUGUAUUGGCCAUUUCAUUAAAUGGUUAUGUCAAUGGAGUCACGUUCAAACAAUACUGUACUGAACAUUGCAUAAAUAUAAAUGACAAGACAAAGCAAGUGCAGAAAUUAUUUUUUUGUGAAGGUCUGAUUUCAUUUGCAUUGGUUUGUGACUUAUUGAGAAAAUUUGAUAGAUGGUGCCUGAGAUCAUAUUCUGAUUCAGUAUUGAUCCCAACAUGGUGAUGGAAGGCUCUUAAUAACUGGGCAAUGAUCCAUACCCAGAUGAUGAUAUGGCUCUCUGUUUCUGUGAGUCAUCAAUUGGACUACAACAUUGUUUAUUGGGGCAUCUGAGUUGGAUGAUUGGAUAAUGUCUCCACUUGUCUAUGGUCUUCUUGCAGGGUGCUGAUUGGCCCCAGAUGAAGGUUGACAACUUGACAUAGACCGGUGGGGAGUUCGAAGGAUGCUUAUCCAUUAACCUUGUAGUGGCAACCCCACCUUCCAUUUCCUCCAUUUUUUUGCUCUGUUCUUUGGCUCGGCAAACAUAAUCAUGAUGAUGUCAAUCUUGUUCAUGCUAUUUGGGCGACUAUGUCAUGCCAUUCUUGUUCAGUCUUCCCUAUAGUUUUUGGGCAUUUGAGUUGGAUGAUAUCAGGACCAGAAGGCCGGGUCCUGAUUGGCUCCAAAGGCUGGUUGUAGAUUGACUGGCGGGACUUUGGAGGAUACUUUUCCAUUUUCUUUCUAGUGGCCACCCCACCUUCCUGUUCCUCCUCCGUUUUGCAUCUCUGUAAUUUGGCUCAGCAACCAUCAUGAUGAUGAUUCACAUUCUUGUUGACGCUAUUUGGGCAACUAUAUGAUGCCAUGGCUUUUUAGUCUUCCCUAUACUUACUGAUCAUCGGAAUGGAGCGUGGUCAUUAGCUUGUUCAUGGUCUAGCUAGGAAAGCUUUGCAGCAAUUCUCUCUGAGCCCAGGUGUCAUCUUGCAUAUAGUUUUGUUUUGUUUUGUGUUUGUCCUGGAUUGUAAGGUAUAGCUUUGAUAUCUUUAUACCCUUUUUUUUUUUUAUAUACAUUUUAAUGAAGAUCUUCUGUUGGAGAAAAA